AUUGAACGCUGGCGGCAUGCCUUACACAUGCAAGUCGAACGGCAGCGGACCUUCGGGUGCCGGCGAGUGGCGAACAGGUGAGUAAUAUAUCGGAACGUACCUUUCAGUGGGGGAUAACGUAGCGAAAGUUACGCUAAUACCGCAUAUUCUGUGAGCAGGAAAGCAGGGGAUCGCAAGACCUUGCGCUGAUUGAGCGGCCGAUAUCAGAUUAGCUAGUUGGUGAGGUAAAGGCUCACCAAGGCGACGAUCUGUAGCGGGUCUGAGAGGAUGAUCCGCCACACUGGAACUGAGACACGGUCCAGACUCCUACGGGAGGCAGCAGUGGGGAAUUUUUGGACAAUGGGCGCAAGCCUGAUCCAGCCAUGCCGCGUGAGUGAAGAAGGCCUCGGUUGUAAG
rnacentral:rRNA from 1 species